rnacentral:rRNA from 1 species
CCUACGGGGUGCAGCAGUGAGGAAUAUUGGUCAAUGGACGAGAGUCUGAACCAGCCAAGUAGCGUGAAGGAUGACUGCCCUAUGGGUUGUAAACUUCUUUUAUAAAGGAAUAAAACGAGGCACGUGUGCCUUUUUGCAUGUACUUUAUGAAUAAGGAUCGGCUAACUCCGUGCCAGCAGCCGCGGUAAUACGGAGGAUCCGAGCGUUAUCCGGAUUUAUUGGGUUUAAAGGGAGCGUAGAUGGGUUGUUAAGUCAGUUGUGAAAGUUUGCGGCUCAACCGUAAAAUUGCAAUUGAUACUGGCAGUCGUGAGUACAGUUGAGGUAGGCGGAAUUCGUGGUGUAGCGGUGAAAUGCUGAGAUAUCACGAAGAACCCCGAUUGCGAAGGCAGCUUACUAAACUGUGACUGACAUUGAUGCUCGAAAGUGUGGGUAUCAAACAGGAUUAGAUACCCCUGUAGUC